rnacentral:rRNA from 1 species
GACGAACCUGGCGGCGUGCCUAAUACAUGCAAGUAGAACGCUGAAGAGAGGAGCUUGCUCUUCUUGGAUGAGUUGCGAACGGGUGAGUAACGCGUAGGUAACCUGCCUGGUAGCGGGGGAUAACUAUUGGAAACGAUAGCUAAUACCGCAUAAUAGCAGUUAUUGCAUGAUAACUGUUUGAAAGGUGCAAAUGCAUCACUACCAGAUGGACCUGCGUUGUAUUAGCUAGUUGGUGGGGUAACGGCUCACCAAGGCGACGAUACAUAGCCGACCUGAGAGGGUGAUCGGCCACACUGGGAUGAGACACGGCCCAGACUCCUACGGGAGGCAGCAGUAGGGAAUCUUCGGCAAUGGACGGAAGUCUGACCGAGCAACGCCGCGUGAGUGAAGAAGGUUUUCGGAUCGUAAAGCUCUGUUGUAAGAGAAGAACGAGUGUGAGAGUGGAAAAUUCAC